rnacentral:rRNA from 1 species
GGAGAUACUAUUAGACUUGAGGUGGGGAGAUGUUAGCGGUACUCCCCGGGUAGGGGUGAAAUCCUGUUAUCCGGGGAGGACCACCUGUGUGCGAAGGCGGCUAACCGGAACGAACCUGGCGGUGAGGGACGAAAGCCCGGGGCGCGAACCGGAUUAGAUACCCGGGUAGUCCUGGCCGUAAACGAUGCGGACUUGGUGUUGGGAUGGCUUCGAGCUGCCCCAGUGCCGAAGGGAAGCUGUUAAGUCCGCCGCCUGGGAAGUACGGUCGCAAGACUGAAACUUAAAGGAAUUGGCGGGGGA